rnacentral:rRNA from 1 species
UACAGAGGGUGCAAGCGUUGUUCGGAAUUAUUGGGCGUAAAGCGCGUGUAGGCGGGAUGGCAAGUCGGGUGUGAAAGCCCUCAGCUCAACUGAGGAAGUGCGCCCGAAACUACCGUUCUUGAGUGUCGGAGAGGGUGGCGGAAUUCCCGGUGUAGAGGUGAAAUUCGUAGAUAUUCGGAGGAACACCAGUGGCGAAGGCGGCUCACUGGCUCGGUACUGACGCUGAGGUGCGAAAGCGUGGGGAGCAAACAGG